AGUUUGAUCAUGGCUCAGGACGAACGCUGGCGGUAUGCUUAACACAUGCAAGUCGAACGAGACGACGAUGUUUACAUCGUCAGAAAGUGGCGAACGGGUGAGUAACGCGUGGGUAACCUGCCCCAUGGAAAGGAAUAGCCUCGGGAAACUGGGAGUAAUGCCUUAUACGAUACAUCUGCCGCAUGGCUUUUGUAUGAAACGCUCCGGUGCCAUAGGAUGGACCCGCGUCCCAUUAGCUGGUUGGUGAGAUAACAGCCCACCAAGGCGACGAUGGGUAACCGGUCUGAGAGGGCGAACGGUCACACUGGAACUGAGACACGGUCCAGACUCCUACGGGAGGCAGCAGUGGGGAAUAUUUGUCAAUGGGCGAAAGCCUGAACAAGCGACGCCGCGUGGGCGAUGAAGGUCCUUGGAUCUUAAAGCCCUGUUCGGGGGAACGAAUGGAUCGGGAGCAAAUAGUUCCCGAUCUUUGACGGUACCUCCGCAGAAAGCCCCGGCUAACUACGUGCCAGCAGCCGCGGUAAUACGAGGGGGGCAAGCGUUGUUCGGAAUUAUUGGGCGUAAAGGGCGCGUAGGCGGUGCGGUAAGUCACCUGUGAAACCUCUGGGCUUAACUCAGAGCCUGCAG
rnacentral:rRNA from 1 species